rnacentral:rRNA from 1 species
AUUGAACGCUGGCGGCAUGCCUUACACAUGCAAGUCGAACGGCAGCACGGGAGCAAUCCUGGUGGCGAGUGGCGAACGGGUGAGUAAUAUAUCGGAACGUGCCCAGUCGUGGGGGAUAACGUAGCGAAAGCUACGCUAAUACCGCAUACGAUCUAUGGAUGAAAGCGGGGGAGUCGCAAGACCUCGCGCGAUUGGAGCGGCCGAUAUCAGAUUAGGUAGUUGGUGGGGUAAAAGCCUACCAAGCCUUCGAUCUGUAGCUGGUCUGAGAGGACGACCAGCCACACUGGAACUGAGACACGGUCCAGACUCCUACGGGAGGCAGCAGUGGGGAAUUUUGGACAAUGGGCGCAAGCCUGAUCCAGCAAUGCCGCGUGCAGGAUGAAGGCCUUCGGGUUGUAAACUAGCUUUGUUACGGAACGAAACGGUUCUACUCUAAUACAGGGGCGU